rnacentral:pre_miRNA from 1 species
AAACAAACCAGAGGCUCACACUGAUGAUUGUCAUAGUGUGAAUCUCCGGCGCGUUU